AGAUGUGAAGUAUCUCCUUGAUCUUGUGGAGAGUCCAGACUAUAAACUGGAGACUCUGAGGCCAUGGAGGUGGUAACAUUAACCAGGAGGGUGUGUGUUGUGAGAGGACGAGCUGUGUCCUGAUGAUCCAGAGAUUGAAGCAGACUCUGACUGGACCAUGUUACUGGGAGGUGGAGAGGAGAGCUUCAUCCACAUGGUCUCCAUUUAAGACCAAAAAAAAUACUCAUUUGUGGGAAUUUCAACAUUGAUUUGCUGAUUCUAAAUCAGCAUAAAUCAACAGAUGAGUUCAUCCAAAUAAUGUAUAGUAUGAGUCUGAAUGACACCAGUGACCACCUGCCUGUCUUUCUUAUUCAUGAAUGUAAUUAUAUAACAAUGAGAGAAUUAAAGGAAAUUAAAUAUAAGAGAAUAAGUUUUACAUUCCCAGAUCUAUAUGAUAAGCACUGCCCUCUUAAACAGUGUAACACCAAGAACCAUUUGACAGAAAACCCAUGAAUGACCAAGGGGCUUCAAAAUGCCUGUAAAAAAUGAACUGCUUGUAGAGACUGUUUAUAAAAUAAAACAAAAGAGGCAGAGUUUAAAUAUAAGAUA